ACUCAAAGGAAUAGACGGGGGCCCGCACAAGCGGUGGAGCAUGUGGUUUAAUUCGAAGCAACGCGAAGAACCUUACCAAGGCUUGACAUCCCGAUGGAAGGCGCAGAGAUGCGCAAGACCCCUGCGGGGGACGUUGGAGACAGGUGGUGCAUGGUUGUCGUCAGCUCGUGUCGUGAGAUGUUGGGUUAAGUCCCGCAACGAGCGCAACCCUUAUCUUUAGUAGCCAGUGGGUAAAGCCAGGCACACUAGAGAGACUGCCGGGGCAACUCGGAGGAAGGUGGGGAUGAGGUCAAAUCAUCAUGCCCCUUAUGUCUUGGGCUACACACGUGCUACAAUGGCUGCAACAAAGUGAAGCGAACGCGUGAGCGCGAGCGAAACACAAAAAAGCAGUCCCAGUUCGGAUUGCAGGCUGCAACCCGCCUGCAUGAAGUCGGAAUCGCUAGUAAUCGCGAAUCAGCAUGUCGCGGUGAAUACGUUCCCGGGCCUUGUACACACCGCCCGU
rnacentral:rRNA from 1 species